rnacentral:misc_RNA from 1 species
GAUGAAGAACGCAGCGAAAUGCGAUACGUAAUGUGAAUUGCAGAAUUCAGUGAAUCAUCGAAUCUUUGAACGCAUAUUGCGCUCUCUGGUAUUCCGGAGAGCAUGCUUGUUUGAGUAUCAGUAAACACCUCAACUUCCAUAUCUUUUUUGAAAUGGGAGUUGGACUUGAGUGAUCCCAACGCUUUUCCUCACCGAAAAGUGGCGGGUUACUUGAAAUGCAGGUGCAGCUGGACUUUUCUCUGAGCUAUAAGCCUAUCUAUUUAGUCUGCCUACAAAACAGAUUAUUACCUUUGCUGCAGCUAACAUAAAGGAGAUUAGUUCUUGUGCUGACUGAUGCAGGAUUCACAAAGACAGGCUUCGGCCGACUUUGUAAACUCGAUCUCAAAUCAAGUAAGACUACCCGCUGAACUUAAGCAUAUCAAUAAGCGGAGGA